GUUCCUCACUUCAGCCCUGAUGUCUGCAUCUCCUCUGUACCAACUCUUGGUGUUUUCUCUCUGAAGACCUUCUCUAGAGACUCGGACUGACUCACUUUACAAAGUCUGCUGUCUAAGAUGGAGCACAAGUUUCCCAGAUGCAAGAUAUUCACCCCAAGAAUUUACUGUUGGUACUCCUUGUGUGGACAUCAU